rnacentral:rRNA from 1 species
UACGUAGGGUGCAAGCGUUAAUCGGAAUUACUGGGCGCAAAGAGUGCGUAGGCGGUUCUUUAAGUCCGCUGUGAAAGCCCCGGGCUUAACCUGGGAAUGGCAGUGGAAACUGGAGGACUUGAAUUGAGCAGAGGGGGGUGGAAUGCCGCGUGUAGCAGUGAAAUGCGUAGAGAUGCGGCGGAACACCGAUGGCGAAGGCAGCCCCCUGGGCUUAAAUUGACGCUGAGGCACGAAAGCGUGGGGAGCAAACAGG